UACGGAGGGCGCUAGCGUUGUUCGGAAUUACUGGGCGUAAAGCGCGCGUAGGCGGCUUUGUAAGUUAGAGGUGAAAGCCCGGAGCUCAACUCCGGAACUGCCUUUAAAACUGCAUCGCUUGAAUCCAGGAGAGGUGAGUGGAAUUCCGAGUGUAGAGGUGAAAUUCGUAGAUAUUCGGAAGAACACCAGUGGCGAAGGCGGGUCACUGGACUGGUAUUGACGCUGAGGUGCGAAAGCGUGGGGAGCAAACAGG
rnacentral:rRNA from 1 species